rnacentral:rRNA from 1 species
ACAGUCACACAUUAGAUACCCCGGUAGUCCUAGCCGUAAACGAUACUCGCUAGGCGUCGGCCACGGUGCGACCGUUGUCGGUGCCGUAGGGAAGCCGUGAAGCGAGCCACCUGGGAAGUACGGCCGCAAGGCUGAAACUUAAAGGAAUUGGCGGGGAGCACAACAACGGGUGGAGCUUGCGGUUUAAUUGGAUUCAACGCCGGAAAUCUUACCGGGACCGACAGCAACAUGAAGGCCAAGCUGAAGACUUUGCCGGAUUAGCUG